AAAGAAACUAACAAGGAUUCCCCUAGUAACGGCGAGUGAAGCGGGAAAAGCUCAAAUUUGUAAUCUGGCGCCUUUGGCGUCCGAGUUGUAAUCUCGAGAAGUAUUUUCCGCGCUGGACCGCACAUAAGUCUGUUGGAAUACAGCGUCAUAGUGGUGAGAACCCCGUAUAGGGUGCGGAUGCCCAGUGCUUUGUGAUAUACUUUCGAAGAGUCGAGUUGUUUGGGAAUGCAGCUCAAAUUGGGUGGUAAAUUCCAUCUAAAGCUAAAUAUUGGCGAGAGACCGAUAGCGAACAAGUACCGUGAGGGAAAGAUGAAAAGCACUUUGGAAAGAGAGUUAACAGUACGUGAAAUUGUUGGAAGGGAAACGCUUGAAGUCAGACUUGCAUUUUGGAGUUCAGCCGUAAGGUGUAUUCUUCAAUUCGCAGGCCAGCAUCAGUUUUUGGGGGUGGAAAAUCGUGGUUUGAAGGUAGCAGUCUCGGCUGUGGUUUAUAAGCUUUCCACUGGAUUCACUUUURGGGACUGAGGAACGCAGUACGCUUUUUGCAAGAUUCUCGGAUCUUUCGUACUUAGGAUGCUGGUGGAAUGGCUUUAAACGACCCGUCUUGAAACACGGACCAAGGAGUCUAACAUGUUUGCGAGUGUUUGGGUGUCAAACCCGGACGCGUAAUGAAAGUGAAUGGAGGUGGGAUCCGCAAGGUGCACCAUCGACCGAUCUGGAUUUUCUAAGAUGGAUUUGAGUAAGAGCAAUUAUGUUGGGACCCGAAAGAUGGUGAACUAUGCCUGAAUAGGGUGAAGCCAGAGGAAACUCUGGUGGAGGCUCGUAGCGGUUCUGACGUGCAAAUCGAUCGUCAAAUUUGGGUAUAGGGGCGAAAGACUAAUCGAACCAUCUAAAUGUUGCUUGGUGGUUAAUAGGGACUUCAAAGUAGAGCCCUAGUGGGAGUGGUAACUUGCGACACUUUCAAAUUGCGGGGACGCCCUUAGAGCUCUAAUUACGGCGGCUCAUCGAAAGAUAGAGUGCAGCAGCAGGUUAAUGGCCUCGCGGAUCGUAAAAACAUUAGAGAUUGGGUAAUCCGCAGCCAAGUCCUAAGUAGCGCCUUGGAGUCGCUAUAUGGAUGCAGUUCAUCGACUAAAUGGAAGUGGGUGUCCUUUCUUAACCGGAAGGGUGCUUGAGAUAUAGUCAGCCCCUCGUGAGAGCGAGCUAAUGGGACGAAGAUUCGAUUCGUUUUUACCACUAUAAACGACGUUUCCCGAGCCCAUUGGGGUCUAAUAAGAGGACAUAGUAAACCUCUUGAAGACUGGAUUACGUGCUAGUAGCUGGUUCCUGCCGAAGUUUCCCUCAGGAUAGCAGAAACUCACAUCAGUUCUAUGAGGUAAAGCGAAUGAUUAGAGGCCUUGGGGUUGAAACAACCUUAACCUAUUCUCAAACUUUAAAUAUGUAGGAAGUCCUUGCUACUUAAUGAGCGAGGACA
rnacentral:rRNA from 1 species